AAGAAUUAACAGACAAGGAAGCGGAUUUGAGGAGUUGAACGGGACUGGGUGGUGGAAGAAGGGAAACUGCACACUUCCAGACAGAUCGGGAGCAAGUGGGGCACAAGGUUAAACAUAGUCCUCUUCCUUCUCGGAGCAGUUGCCACUUCUGCUCUACAUGUCUCAGAAGCGGUAUAUUGCGGCCCAUGAACUACAGCCUCACCCCAUUUUCUGUGACAGGAACAACAGGACCAGCUCACUGGUCAGGGAAUAGUGGCAUCGAUGAACAAAACGAUGAAGACAAUUGUUCUGGUCAUCCUCUUGUGGUGUUCGAUACCAGGCUCUUUCCCUAAGAAACUACAAAUUUCUCGAGGCUGGAAGAGAUCUGUGAAUACUACAACCCGGG